GUCUUCCAUUCGUUGCUGGGAGCUAGAUCAGUUUCAUUCAGCUUCUGCCUACAAGGCCUUUAGAUAUGUGCUUGUGAAUCUUUCCUGCCUUCUCUGCGUCUUCCAUGCGACGCAGGUUGUUUGACCUGGGGUGUGGGGCCGGGGUCUGCCCUAGAGGAACCAGAGGGAUCACAUCCACCCCUGCUCAGAACCAACAAGGCCCAAGGACAACAUCAGAACCAACAAGGCCCAAGGACAUCAUCAUUCCCUUUGCUUCCCAGAAACCUCAGCUUUUCCUCUUUUCAAACGGGUGUAAGGACAUCUGCCUGGACUUCCUUGCUCAGUGGUGUGAGCACAAGAGUCCUCAAAUGGAAAGGUCCUGGCUCCUUAGGGUCCUCCGUCCUCAGAAGCACCCCAAAGGCCCAGUCCCCACAGAC
rnacentral:lncRNA from 1 species